rnacentral:tRNA from 2 species
GCCCCCGUAGCUCAGGCGGAUAGAGCAGCGGUUUCCUAAACCGCGUGCCGGGUGUUCAAAUCACCCCGGGGGCACCA